UACGUAGGGGGCAAGCGUUGUCCGGAUUUAUUGGGCGUAAAGAGCGUGUAGGCGGCCACACAGGUCUGCUGUGAAAACUCGAGGCUCAACCUCGAGCUGUCGGUGGAAACCGUGUGGCUAGAGUCCGGAAGGGGCGAGUGGAAUUCCUGGUGUAGCGGUGAAAUGCGCAGAUAUCAGGAGGAACACCGAUGGCGAAGGCAGCUCGCUGGGACGGUACUGACGCUGAGACGCGAAAGCGUGGGGAGCAAACAGG
rnacentral:rRNA from 1 species